CCCCGAGGAACAAUUAAAAUAAUCAUUUCAAAUUAGUCUUAUCAUGUAACACUUUUCUAGAAUGCAGUGGACUGUCUUUUCAUGCCUACUUCAGGUAUCCAAGGUUGCCAACAUCUAACUGAAAUCAUAAAAAUAAAAACUUCUAACAAUAUGAAGAGAUUGCAUGUUGGGGAGAACCAAAACCCCGUUUUCGUUUGAAUUGAUAGACUGAAAAGAUCAAGAAAUUAAAGUAUAUAUAGGAAACUGAAUGAAAGGAUUAUAAUCCUAUAGAAGUCUUACACAAAUGGUAAACUGAUCAAAGAGCAUUUUUCCAUGGUUUCAAAAUUAAAAUUUAGGACAAAGAUCAAAAGCAUGGCAUGCAAGAAAUGAAUUGUGUUCUAAAAAAGAACAAAGAUUGAAAUCACUACAAUUCAGGAACUACCCCAGAAACAAUUUAUUCUUUGCAUAACAGAUGUUUACACAAUAAGCAAUCAAAACAAUUGAUGGCCAAAAUAAUUUGUGACCAAGAACUGUAAUGCUAAAACGAAGCUAAUGAGAAAAAAAUGUUGAACUAAUCGAACAAGAGACAAGAAUUCUUAGGUUAUCGACGUACUUGAACCCUCAACCUCAGAAUAGAAAAUACAGGUCAUUGUGAAUCGCUUACGACAGGCACUUAAAUAGGCUGUUAAAGAUCAAUCUUCAGGUACACACUGUCUUCCUCUACCCUUCGUCCUAAUGUGGUCAGCCAGUGACAUGAAAAACACAUAUAUUUAACUUGUGCAAUUUAAAUCCUGUGAUAAGUUUUGUAUAAAACAUGAUAAUUUGUGCCAACAUUAUUAUAAAAGGAGGGGAUUUUUUUGUUACAUAAAUUUCAAAAUGAAAAGCUGAAUCCUCUAAAUGCGUCCAAUUUAAUUGUCUAAACCUGUUAUUCAACGACAACAGAGAGUACCAAUCUCCAAAGACCAGAGAACUACCAUGGCCAACAUUGUAUUCACAAAAAUAAUUUCUGUCAACAUUCUAUUCAUAAAUUUAUGGAAAAUUCGUUUUCCCAAAUGUAAUUCUCAAAGGAAAUUUCCAAUCCAGGAUCUCUGUAACCAGUUCAACUUCAACAAGAAUUCAAGAGAACCCUAUAUCACAAGAAUAAUCACCCAGAAAAAAUAAUACAAACAUCAUAUCAUAUUUAAUACAAGAAUAAUCAAGAAGGGGGAUAAAAAGAAGGGCAUGGACCGAGAGGAUGUUCCAACUUGAAGGAACUCUUCGCCAUGGAUCCCGUUUUCCUGCAAUCCCAGAAACAAGCCGGCAUCGCCAUGUCAAGAUCACCAAGAAAAGAAUCGUGAAAGAAGAUCUCCCGUUCAUCGAUCAAAAUCGACAUGAUGAAUACGAGAAAGAUCACGCACCUAACGCAACGAGGAUAGAUCGAAGGGUCUUCGGGACGAUCGACGGAAGGAAGAUAGACUCGAUAGGGAUUUGGGGGAAGGGAAGACUCUUACGUUUCUCUGUGGCGUUGUGGCUGUUACAUGUACGCGCAAGAAAGGGGAGCGGAUCUCCCGUAUGAUACAGGGAAGCCCAUCCAAAAUAAAUUUGACCCCAACGCAUUGUUUACCUGUCUUUUGAUUGGUAAUAUCAGCAAUAUUGUUGUGGGCUCCUUAUCAUUCCGAAUCACGAGGCGGAUAAAUGUGGUGUAAACACUGGCGCGAUCCUUUACAAAUCUGCUCUGUAUGAUUAGAAGAUGGAUCUCCGUAUAAUACGAGGAGACCCAAUGGAAAAUAAAUUUUCGACACCUCGUGUGACUACUCGACUUCCAUACCUUUGUUUUGAUUGGAUGUACAAGAAGAAAUUUUGUGGAUCCACGUGGUCCAUUGGAUAUCCCUGAAUCGAAAGGCAGGUACAUUCGUGUGUUGUUUGGGAAAGUAGGAGGAUCUCUCCGCACGAUACACCAAAACAAAUUUCACUCUGCCAUGAGUACCCGGUUUGCAUACCUGGAUUUCAGUUGCACAUAUGUGCAGUAAUGUGGUGGGCCCUAAGGUUGUCGGUGAUCAGUAAAUCCCAAUGGGGGGUAAAGCAUUGUGUAAAAACUAUCAUACCCUAUCAUCAUAAGAGGAUAAUUUAAUUAAUUUAUAUUAUUCGAUAAUUUAUUGAAAAUGGUGUCAUUUUAUUUAAAUUUCAAAAUUACCCACUUGCUUCAAAAUCCUCCGUACUUGGCUUCUUCAGCUCUUCGUCCUCCAUCUAUUCUUCUCCGUCGUUCCUCCUCCUCCAUUACUUUUCCUUACCACACUCUCUCAGUAUCUAAUUAUCCUUCUGCGCCUCCACAAACACGCUCACAUCCUAAUCCACAUUUACUUUCUAGAUCUCAGAAUAUUUGCAGUGCACAUUUGUAAUGAGUCACUGGCCACUACAACACUACAUUCAUUCCCGGGGAACAUUGUUUGAUGUCAGGUUUGUGCCAGUUUCCAUGAGGAAUCCAGAAGCUUUUCCUCCUUUUUCUCAACGCGAGUGCGUCGCGGUGAUGCUCGUUGCAUGCAGCAUAAAGGAGAGGAAUGGGACGCGAGAUGCCACUGUCACCGGCAGCAACGUGAGGAGUGCUGGAAUCCCACUGCCUUCCCGUUCUUGGUGGUGGUGGUGCUGCUGCUGCUGCUGCUGCUGCGGCAGCAAGAACUGCAGGAAAGAGCUGCUCUCACUCUUCCAAAGCAUGUGGGAGUGGAAUACAAUUCCAUCAUCCCACAUCAUCCUGUCAGUGGAUCGUGAUGCUUCCCCCUCAUCAGUCUGUAUCUUGUCAGUGGGCCGUGAUUCCUCCCUCACCACCUUCAUGGCGGUCCUUUCUUGGUUCAUCUCAUGUACCAUCACUGAUGUCAUAAACUAAUGCGCAUUCGGAGUGUACCAUCGUAGCGUAUCAGUUCGAUGUGUUAUUAAGAGUAAAAAUCAAAAGAUUAAUGCAUAAUUUAACCCCCCCCCCCCUUUUUUUUUAAUAAUUAACAUUAUAAACAAAAAAUCUCUAGCAAAAAAAAGUUCAAAUUUUGACUUGUUUGGAGUUCGUCCAAACUAAAUUUCUCAUAAAUUUUUAUUGAUCAAUUUUGGGUGAUCACAUAUCCUCCAUGGAAACCCAAAUCAAGCAAUCAUCACCUUGCACUAAACCCUAACCCUAGCUUUAGCACCCAAGAGUCUCUCGCUUUCUAAGCAAAUGGGGGAUUGUCAAGGUGGGAAGAGGAGGUGGAAUCCAGGGACUGGCUCGCGCGACUCCCGCAAUGGCUCAACGUGGUUCCCCCCAUCUCUCCCUAAAGAAACAAAAAUGAAAGAGAGAGGCCAUUAAUGGAAGCUGAUUCCACCGGCAGUGCAGUUGGCCCACCGGCCGCCGAGGAUUCCUCAUCUCCGGAUGUGGAUGCGGAUGCCCUCGCCUUUCCCCGCGGCCUUUUAUACCCCCUUCCCGUUCCCGGAAGCUCUGAGCUCACCAUCCUGCGAGACAUUGGUUCCGUAGGUCUUAAGCCCUCAUCUUCCUUACGUUUCCUCUUCGUUUACGGAGGCUUUCUCCGAAGUCUGCGCUAAAGAAUCGAUCUUUAUUGGAUUUUAGGUGAAUUCCGUUUGCAUCUCCGCAUCCGGGGCUUGUGGGAGGCGUUUCCACCGAUUCCCUUCGAGGUAUGAUGAGUACAUAACGUGGCUUUAUUCCACUGCGUCGAAGCCGGUGGGGAUCUUCCUCUGUGUGUAGGUCCCAUCCACUUGUCAAGAUUGUGAGGGUGCAGUAUGGGAGGAGAAAAUUUUUGCGAGGGAAGUUUGGAACACAAAAUGUUAUCCUUUCCCACAUAAUAGUUGCAUAGGCAUAGUCUGAAGUCCAAAAGAAAAAAAAAGAUAUUUUCUUGUGAUUAGGUAGCAGAGACUGAACCGCCUUCAGAUUCCAACCUAAAGAUAGCUCCUUGGUUAGGCAGAUUAAAAUAGAAUUGGUAGUGUGAUGCUUCUUGCGGGGCUGUUCUUGUGCCAUUGUUCAAACAAGUAGACAAGAUGGCUAAAGAAGGGCAAAUCUGAAAGGUCAGUGUGAUACACCAUUACGAACAUAUAAGGGUUAUUGUAUUUUGUUAGUCUUAAUAUAUUUUAACUCUUUUGGCAUUUGCAUAAUGUGUUUUUCUGCAAUCUUGAGGCUUCUAAGCAGAAUUACAUUGAUCGAGCACUUGUGAAACCUUUGCUAGUGUAACCCAUCAAUUACCUAUAGAACCCAUACAAAUUAUGGGGUUUGAUGAUUUUUGUUUCAUGGCACAAGGACAUGCUGAUAAUGUUUACAUGCGAGGUGUGUCAGCAUGAUAUGUGUUGAUCAGCAUGGCCAACUUUUGCCAUUCCUGUCUGGAACUAGAAACAUGGAGGAAAGAACUGUCUGUGUGUGUUCCUGUCACCUAGUUGAUUUAGAAUGUCUUCAUGUCAGCCUCUCCAAGUCAUAGAACCAUUUGAGAUGGUUUGUGGGUUACUAAAUGUGCCAAACAUGAGACAUUUAGAUGACUUUGAUGGUUAUUUAAAUGGCAUCUCAUCUUCUACUUUAAUAUCAUUUGUUAUGGUUGCAUUAGGCUAAUCUCAUGAAGUUAUUUCAGAGAAAUAAUAAUGCACUAUGUACAUAUUUUGCCUCCUAUGUUGAAUAAAAAAAAUAUUCUGGUUUAUCGUACCCUUCUUAAUCCCCCUUUCAACAUGAGAUUAGAUACCAUUAAUUCUUACCUGGGAUGGAUAACCCAUUUCCUGGAUAAGUUUAACUCAAAUAUUUGACACUGGACAAGGCUUUUAGUCAGCAAUUGGUGGUAUUCCUAUCUUCUGUUAUGCAUGCCUUUCAGGGAUCAACACAUGGGUCAUCAGCAUUGAUCUGUACUUCUCCAGUGCAUCUAUUACCAUAGUCUUGUCUGCUUCUCCAUCUCUGUUCUCUUAUACAUACCCAAGGUUCUUAACCAUCUUCCAUGCUUAGUCACUGACUACUCAUUGGCAGGUUUGCGUUUGAUCCUGCGGAAAGCCAUCACAGAGAGAAGAGAGAUUCCAGCAGUUGGUAGGCUUGCAGAACUUCUGGUAAGGAACUAUGCCAUGACUUCAGAGAAAGGAGAUGGCCAUAGGCUUUCCUACUCUUUAUGGGUUUUUGGUAUCAUUAGCUUCCUUCUUGUGUUAUAUAGAGUAUCUGAUAUUUGGAGAAAAUGAACGCACUGGUCGCAACAAGUAGAAAUUUCAAGCAGGCUGCUAAGCUGCUGGGAUUGGACUCUAAGCUGGAAAAAAGUUUGCUAAUUCCAUUCAGAGAGAUUAAGGUAAGGAAGGCAGCACAAACCUUUUUUUUUCUUCCCCCAUUGGUCCUGCUUAUGUUAUCUAACUCUUCAUGUUGAAGUAUCCUAGAGUCCAGCCCAUCUUCUCUAGUUUUUCAGCCUGAUUACCCUACUAUAAUACUCACGUCUUCAAUAGCUUCUCUAACAGAGGUGCACUGGUACGAGUUGUAAAGAAUUCAGCAUUGUCUGCAUAUUUGGAUGACCUUCCUUCUGAACCUUUUGGCAUGAUUCAAUUAGCUGUUUUUUAAAAUAUGUUUCCACUUCAAACCAUUUUUACACACUUGCGAAUAUUAGUUUUUUUUAUCUUUAUGAGCAAAGAUGCCUGUUUGUGUGUGUCUACAUAUUUCUUGUUCUGUGUAUGCCUUCCAUCGUGAUGCCCAAGUCUCCAAUCUCAUCAUGAUGCAUAUCUCUCUGGCUUUAGAUGAUAGUAAAAGAUGGUUGAUUUGUGAAUCAGUUAAACUGAAAUGGGUUCUGACUCUUGAGUGUUGAUUGUUACUAAAGAAGCAUGUUCUCUCUGAUACUGGCGAAUGAUUUAUCAGUGAACUAGCUUUAUCUAUGAUGAGUGUUAUAUUAUAUGUUUAGUAUAUAAUAUAUUUCAGGGAAAAAAGAAGAUACAAUAUAUUUAUGCAAAAAUUGUUCUAUUUCAUUGGCAGCAUCAACAUUUUUGUACUGCAGGUUGAGUGCACAAUUCCAAAAGAUGAUGGCACUUUGGCAUCUUUUGUGGGGUUUAGGGUGCAGCAUGAUAAUGCCAGAGGCCCUAUGAAGGGAGGAAUCAGAUACCAUCAUGAGGUGGGUUGCUAUAUCAUGUUCCCAUUCUUAUUCCUGUUGGAUCUUUUGUCAAAUCACUUGGUAUUUGUGUCAUUGUAUUCUACGGUCACUUCUUUAAGUGUUUAUUAAAAGCAUGAUUGACACUGUAUUCACAGAUGUGAAGGCAGUGCAAUUGUACAAUGCAUAACCUCUAGUAUAUUCAGUAAGGUCUCAGAUCAAUUGCCUCUGUCAAUCACUAGCUCCAGUAACUUUGAUUAAGAAAGAGUCAAGUUUUUUUUUUUUGAAUUUUCUCUUCUAGUAACUCCUUGUCUUCAGGAAAAUUGUCAAACAGGAUUUUCUUCCUAAUGAAACAUCUGACAAGGUUUUUGCCUCAUCCACACUAAAUCUGCAAUUAUCAGAACAGAUUAUGGAUUUUACAAACAAAUUGUACUUGAGUGCAUUCUAUUUGUAUAUGUAUAAUAAUUUUCUCUUUUGUGCUGUUUCAUUGUGUGAAAUGUGUUUCCUUGCUACUUGUCAUAUCCACAAUAUUUAUAUUUAAUAAAGCAUAGAUGAUGGGAAACUACUUUGCUUCUUUCCAUAUAGAAAGUAAAGACAUUAUCCUAUUGAUUUACACAGUUUUCUGAACCAGUUUCCAGUAGUCAUCAUUAUGUUUAUAAUUAUUAUUGAAAAAAUAUGAGGAUCACAAACUGCUCCAAAAUGCUAAUUGCCCUCUUUACCUUGUUGAACUACUAAAAUGAAAAAGGGAGCUUAUGCAUACAUGAAGGAAAUAGAUGAUUGGUGUUCUGCGUAUCUUUAUAUGUUGAAUAAGGAAAUAUAUGCUUGGGGUAAUUUUACUUUCUGUAUUCAACUUGAGGUAUAUAAAAGAAUUACUCAUGCAAGCCAAGGUUUCAAAUAUUGAACCACACCAACUGGUACAAAAUUAAUAUUGGUGAGAAAACAUUAUUUAUAUUGUUUUCCUAGCAGUAUGCCAUACCAAAUUUGUCUGCAUCCAAAUUAUUGAACAUAAGUGCACAUUCAUCAUACAAUGUGGUUGUUCUUUUUCAUGUCUAUGCUUGAGCAUCAAAGACGUUGAUAAAGCAAGUCCAAUAGUACUUGAGGACACCAAGCGAACAAUUUCAGAUUUUUAUUUUUUUAAAAAAAAUUUAAUAUGUGAUAUACUUUAGGUUGACCCAGACGAGGUGAAUGCCUUGGCACAAUUAAUGACUUGGAAAACAGCUGUAGCAAAUAUACCAUAUGGGGGUGCUAAAGGUGGAAUAGGAUGCAGUCCUGGAAAACUUAGUUGUUCUGAACUUGAGAGGCUUACCAGAGUUUUCACACAGAAGAUACAUGAUCUAAUUGGCAUUCACACUGAUGUUCCAGCACCCGAUAUGGGAACUAAUUCACAGGUUAUUCAUUUUUGGUUUCACUUUUCUUUUAUGAUGUUUAGAGAAGUUAUAUAUAUUAUGUAUGCUUAAAAUACAGAUUUAAUUGUUUUUACUGUAAAUGCAACAGACAAUGGCUUGGAUACUUGAUGAGUACUCAAAAUUUCAUGGCCACUCACCAGCAGUUGUGACUGGAAAACCUAUUGUAAGUACACUAUGAUUUGGAACAACUACAUUUGUUACUACAGAUAAUUUGAAGGCUUAUACGGCCCUGCAGAUCUGCUGUCACUAUAGUUUACAAUUCAAAAAUGUGACUAUUGGUGAUUACUUGUUUACCUGACAUUUAAAGUUCUUCAUAUAAAGAAAAUGUUUAGUUUUGCAGCAGGAUGGAGAAUAAUAAGGUAUCCAUCUUAGGUUAAAGUUUGCACUUCAGAGCUGCAGGUUAUUCCAAACUAAGUAUGUAACACGAAGUACUGGUACUUGAAAGGAAGAUUGAGAUAGUUCACAUAAAAGGAUGGAGAAUAUCAUAAAAUUCAAUUGCUCAGAAAAUCGUUCUGAAUUAUAAAAACUUUUGUCACACCAUACAGAUUCACAUUUUUAGUUAUGCCAUGAGGCUCUAUUGAAUUUGACCUUGGAGAAUAAUGUUAUGACCAGAAAAUGCUCACGUAGCCAUCACAAAAUACUUUUUGGACUGCGAAUAUGAGAUUUAUGAUGACCACAUUUCUGUGAUAGAAGUCUUCCUAUAUGUAGAAACUUCAUUUCACUAUACAAAGGUUGUUUAUGAUCUUGCUUGUGGUUAAACCCAGUUUCUGGAAAGUCAUGCAAGAUAUUUUGUCACAAACACCACUAAGAGCAUGCUAAAUUAAUAUUUAAUUUAAGCAGGAUAUAUGCAGUUGAUUAGAAACAAAUAAUUGUUAAGUCAAGCUUUUUUGGUUUUAAUUGCAGGUUGAGUGAAAGUUACAAAUGGAUCUUCCUUUAAUAUUGCUUAUCUUUUUCUUUAUGAUUUUCUGUUUAUUAAUGGUAUCUAAUUUCUGGCAUUCAUCUAGCCUAGAAUAGCUGAUGAACAACUUCGUCAAUCAUGAUAAGAUGGUUGAUACAGUGUUCUCUCUAUUUAAAGGACCAGAAUAUGGUCUUCUGUGUUCCAUGCUUACCAUGGAAUGUAUCUGGUUGUUCCUUGAUGUCAUUCUAUGCAAUAAAUUCUCCAUCUUAGACUAGCAAAUAAGGCUAAGGUAAUUCCUUCAUUUUAUGCUUCACUGAGAGAGAAUAUUUUAAAAUUCUUGAAUACUUUGUAAUUAAUUGUUCCUUUAGGAUACCUAAUGCUGAUUUCCUUUAAAGGAUCUUGGUGGAUCUCUGGGUAGAGAGGCAGCUACUGGAAGGGGGGUCCUGUUUGCAACAGAAGCCGUACUUGCAGAAUAUGGAAAGAGCAUUAAAGAUCAGCGCUUCAUAAUACAGGUAAAGCUAUGGUUCUUCAGUAGUUGUUGAUCAUAUAUGAACAGACCAAUUGCAAAUGGGAAUUAAGAAAAGUCAUCACAACAAUUUGAACCAUAAAUCUAGGAGUAUUAGCCAAACAAACAAUCGUGUGAUUCCUUUUCACAAAAGUAACACUAAUAUGAUUACUCACAAAGAGAACCUUUGAGGUCUCUAAUAUACAGGGGAGUUGGAAUGUUAAAAUAAGAAUUUCUUUACUAUGUAUAAAGAGGGGAUGAUAUUCAUUGAAGGGAGAGCUAUUUGCAUAUUGUUAUAAGGAAUAGACAAGUCUUUAACAUUUACAAUAUUUAAAGAAAGCACUUUUUUGAUGCUCUCUCUUUUGUGCCCUGGAUGCUUCUUUUUUCAUCACUGUGGAUGCUAGGACUUACAGAAUUAAUUUAAAUACAAUAACUGCUACUAUUGGGAAAGCACACACCUCUAUCAUGCCAAACUUAACUAAUUCUUACUUUCUCGAAUCAUCUUUAGCUACUAGCAUUCAUACGGUGAUUCAUAUCAUCGGUGAUCAAGAUUACUAGUCCAUCUAAUGUUAUGACAAAAUCACUUUUAUGAAAUGAGGCAUGCUGGCAGAAACUUCACUGGUAUUAUGCAUCAAUAGUUUUGUGGAAUUAGUUAUAUGGCUUUCAAGUGGUAUAUGACUUCAAUUUUCCACUAAACAAAUAUAGCAAAAAUUAGAGAUUUCUUAAGUUGUUUUAUAGAGCAGAAUUAUAUUCUUUGGCUUGCGAAUGUUUAUCUUGUUGACCCCUGGUACACAGAUAUGUGGUGGUAUACAAGUGCAGAUCUACUGCAAAAUGUCAGCUGCCUGCCCGACUCUCGCAUUCCUAAUACCUGAACUGAAGUUUUUUGCUCCAAAAUCAGUGGCCCCUUAUAACUUAUUGUACUUGAGUAAUCUUAUCUUUAUGCCAUGCAUGCACGGUAGUUGCUCAAAAUCUUAGUUUGUUAAUUCAGAUUACAUUACAUGAUGAUUCAGUCUAUUAAACUGAAUGAAAUUACAAAAUCAGAGACUUUUGAGGUUCGUAAGGGUCUCAACUCCUCAUAUCUUUCAAUAAUCAGGGCUUUGGUAAUGUUGGUUCUUGGGCUGCCCAACUUAUCAGUGAAGCUGGUGGUAAGGUGAUUGCUAUAAGCGAUGUAACAGGGGCUGUCAAGAACACUAAUGGUCUUGACAUCGAAAAACUACUUAAGCACAGCGCGGAGAAUCGUGGAAUCAAAGGUUUCAGUGGUGGAGAAUCAAUUGAUCCAAGUUCCUUGCUUACUGAAGACUGUGAUGUUCUUAUUCCAGCAGCACUUGGAGGUGUAAUAAACAGGUUAUUUCUCUUACGAUUCUUAGUUGAUUCCAGAAAAAAUACAAAUUAUUAAAAUUCUAUAGGCUACUAACAGUGGUUCUUGAGAAAAUUUGACAUGUAACUGGCUAGAAUAAAUGAAAUAAGUUGUUUCUUUUCGUUGCUAGCUGAUCUUCUAAAUUUACUCAUUAAUCUGAUAUCAACUUUUUAUUAUUGGCCUCUUCUGCCACUUUGAAGGGAAAAUGCUAAUGACAUAAGGGCCAAAUUCAUCAUUGAGGCAGCAAAUCAUCCAACUGACCCUGAGGCUGAUGAGGUGAUACAACUUUCUAACUGCUCUAUAGACUAAGAAUAUGAUAACUGUCAGCACAAUGGGAAGCUAUUCUCGGAACUUUUUCUUCUAUUUCAGAUCUUAUCAAAGAAAGGUGUUAUCAUUCUUCCAGACAUAUAUGCAAAUUCUGGCGGUGUUACUGUGAGUUAUUUUGAGUGGGUUCAGGUUAGUGUUUAAUUUCCGUCCUGUUCAUAUUAUUUUGUUGAAACUCUUAUUUCAUCAAUGAACUUCUGACUAUGUACGUUCAAUUUCAACGUCUAAAUCUGACAUUUCUUUAUUUUAUGUAAGAAAGUGGAGUAGAUCAUUGAUAACAUUAAAGCACUCAUGACUCAGUAAUUAGCAACGAUCUAACCAGUGAUGCAUCAAUAAAGAAGCUUCAAUCACUAAUUUUUGAUAGACCUAUACUGAGUUCCACAGAGUACCGAGGAUCUUGCUUAUCGUCUUGUUUCCUUAUUUUAUUCUGCAUAAGAAUAUCUUAUGAUAGUGCUGUUAAGAAUGAUGAGUGCAACCGGACAUCAACAUAUUAAUGCAACAUCUGUGUACAAGAGAUGAAAAUAUCAGCUUGUUCUGAUGGGUUUUGAGCGAUCUUCCAGGAGGAGUUUAAGCUUUCUGCAGUUAACUGUGACAAAUGUCAUUGUUGUUUGAUUAAACAUCAGUUUCUCUUAGAGCAAAGCAUUUGUCCUCUAGAACAACCCUUCUAGACCAGUAAAGUCACCAUAGAAACCACACAACACAGCGGAUUCUUUUUCGGUAGAAAAUAAAUUUAAGAUGUUGAAAUCACUUAGCUUUCAUAUCACCUCUCCACAUGGUUGUUAAUAUGGCAAUUCAUUAGUUGAACUAUAUGUCCUCACAUUUAGUUCCCCACAAUAUGGGCUCAUGAACCACAUAUGAACAAGUAAAAACUUAUUUUAUGAGCUGCAUGACUACUUAUAUCAGAAAUACUAGUGGGAGGUGCGUACUCUCAACAGUUAUCCUGUUCUUGUGUAGUUUGCUUGUAUCAAAGUUCAAAAGUGUUAUUUUUCUCUUUGCAUUCAGAAUAUUCAAGGAUUCAUGUGGGAUGAAAAGAAGGUUAAUGCGGAGCUGAAAACAUAUAUGACUCGAGGCUUCAAAGAUAUGAAGGAGAUGUGCAAGACGCACAACUGUGACCUCCGCAUGGGUGCUUUCACACUUGGAGUCAACCGAGUUGCACGAGCAACCGUUCUCCGAGGAUGGGAAGCUUAGUGGCCUGAUUCCCCCUUUUUCCAUAUUGCGACAAAAUAAUAGUUCCCUAAUUGUCAUUUAGAGAACAAUUUGGGCCCUGUCAUCAACAAAAACUUCACCUGAUUUGACUUUGAUGUGAGGUACUGUGAGGUUGGGUAUGCUUGAUGGUCAUCAAUCACUUUGAUUUUGAUGAUCUUCUUUUUCUAAAACCAAAUCAUUAGUAUUGAUCUGAUUUUAUGCAAGACUUCUUUGGCAAGAGAAUUUGUGAAACUUGCUUUUGCUGAUUUUAUGUUGUUGUGAAAAUUCAGUGAUGAAGAAAACAAUUGGAACAAGGUAGUUGGCCAAUUUCCUGUCAGUCUUGAAAGUUUGCCAUGGGCAAUGUCACAUAUUUAUGUCAUGCAAUUCAAUUGCCCACAAUUAAUUAGAGGCAAACUGAUGGCUCUUCUUGUGACUCACAUAACACAAGGACAGCAUUCUUGAAACCAAUCUUUCUUCAUGGCUGAACAUUUUGUUUGAUGCAACUCCACCAGGUCAGUUCAGCUUGACAUGCUUCAUGAUCUGCUAUCCAAACCAUUCUUGGCACAAGUGUCCUUUCAGAAAUUUCUUAUGUGCUUUUCUUCCAAGAUUCCAUCUGAUAGGUUGCUUUCCAACUUGGAAGACUUCACUUCUUGGCCAUCCUCUGGUAGCAAAAUUUCCAUGUCAUGCAUUACUUGUUUUCUUUGCAAAGCAGGUAUCUGGUGGAGGCACAUUCUUGCACACAUUCCAUUGACUAGACACAAAAAAUUGUUAGGUUUCGCAUGAAUGCAUAUAUUUAACCUAAUAAUUAGUGUUAAUUCAUGGUGUCGUGGUGGCGUAGAAUAAACUACACUCCGACAAUAAGACUUUUAUCGAGUGCAUCUCUCGAUAAGGUCACUCCGACAUCUGAGUUAUGAAAUUUCAAAAUAGAUUUGUGUAUUUUCGAUUCUUGUUGAUGUGGUGGAUUUGAUCUAUCGCUUUUAUCUUUUAUUGUUAUGUUGAUAUUACCUUUAUCGUUUUUUGCUAUGUUAAUGUAACUCCUAAUUGAGGAUGAACAUUUUUUUCUAUCAAUUAGGGAGAUAUGUAUAAAUAAAAAUCAUAAUGUAUAUAUAAUUUCGCCUUCAAAUUAAUAAGCUUGAGGAGUGUGGAACCAACCCAAAGCAUUCAAGUCAAAGGAUACAUUGAACCUUGCCCAUGCCACUUAUCUUGGAUGGCAUGGUUGGUUUCCACAGAGUAUUCAUUGAAGGUAGCACAGGUUGAUAACACAUGGACUGGUUUACACACAACCAGCUUAACAGUGAUGUUUGAACAUGGCUGGUCCCAAAAUUAUCUUUCCUUGGAGCUUGGAAAGUGAACCAAAAACAGGGUUUUGAAUCCUUAUCCAUUGUUUUGAUGUGAUAGAUUGAUGACAUUCAUGGCAAUAUAAUAUUAUAUGUAUUAUACCAAAUAUAUGUAUAAUAAAAAAAUAAAUGAUUUGUUUAUAUUUUUUUAUCCAUUUGAAAGGGGAAUAGUCAGAUUGUUGUCAUGCUUCCCCCAUUUAAAGUUGAAGAGCUUAUUUCCAUUGAUCUUUCUUAUAUUUUUCCCUUGCAAUAUGAUAAAGAAGUCAAACUGGUGCACUGAAGAGCAUGCAACAGUCAACAAUGCUCAUAAAAGGUAGUUUAGUUCAACCAGAUUUUAAGCAUCAUAUAGGCUCAACAAAAGGAGAAAGAAAAAGAAAGCAAAAUAUGAAAGAUGUACUUUUAUAUGUUGCAUAUGACUGACUACUAAGCAUCAUCUUAAGUGGAAUUGGAGGACAGUAAAGCCAUCCUCAUCUCCAUCACCUUCUUGUGUGAGUUGGAGUGCUUGUAGCUCACAAAAGUGGGGCUCUUUGCUGGCCUGUACUCAGGGAGCAGCCUCCCUGACUUGAACCUCACACCACAUGCAUUGCAGAGGGUCUUGGGCCCCAAAGGCCCUGCCCUCCACUGUGGAGUCUUCUGUGACAGGCAAUGGCUGCACCUCCUUGGCUGCACCACCACCUUCUCCUCCUCCCCUACUCUUCCUCCACCCGCGGCUGCUGUCUUGCCCCCUUCCUCCUUUAUGGGGAGGAUCAGCUCACUCUCUGCAAGCCAGUAGGUCUGCUGGAGGAGAGGUGGGUCUGAAGAGGUGAGAUGGAAGGUUGAGAAGGCAUCAGGAGAAGGGUUUCUUGGGGUGAUUCUUCUUCUCUUGGUUCUGGCCUUUGCUGGGACUGCAAGACUUCUGCAUGAAGGUUUGGGGUCUGGGUUUUGUGGGAGUCUUGCUGUCGGUGGGAGGGGCUUGGAAAUGGUGGUGGUGGUGGUGGUGGUGGUGUAGGAUGUGGCACCAGAGAGGCAGUCCUCCACAUAUAUGGACAGCCAUUCCAGGCUCUCAUCCUCUCCUUCUACCUGCAUGCAAGAACAGUGAGAGCAAUUCAAAUGUCUUUUUUUGACUUUAAUGAAUGCAACCAAACCAAGAAAGAAGAUCUGACAGCAAAAUGAGGGCAGAAAUCCACAAAUCAAAAGCUGGCAACCAUCAGAGUCGAAAGAUUCUUUUCUUGACUCUAAAGAUAGAUCACAAGUGUUCACAAGAAAAUCAAGAAUUCAAACAUAUGAGAGCAGUUUUCAGAGUCACGAAAGGAAAAGAAGAAAGAAGACUGAGAACAAACUCAAAAUUGUAGUCCCUCAAAAGAGAUUGGUGAUCGUUGCACCAAGCAACCACAACCAAGAACAUAUCAUCCAAGGAAUAAAUUUCAGCACUCUAAUGGAAAAUCCACCGAUCACAGGGAGAAGAAAAUGGCUGAAAAGAAUGACCAUGUUAUCUCCAGGGAUGAACUCCUCCAACAAAGAACUGCCAGCAGAGGAGGAUUUGUUGCAGGUGUCCAUUUUAAGCUGCACAACAAGCCAGAGACAAAGAACAAAAGAAGAAGAAGAUGAUGAUGAUGAUGAAGAAGAAGAAGAGGGGAGAGCAAGUGAGGUGGUGAAUUCUAUGUUUGUUGUGGGUUAAGGAGGCCUAAAUAAGAGGGGCAGGCAACAGCUGCCUCCCUCUUUUCUCUGGCCUUUAUCUCCGCGUUCUUUUGUCGGUAGAGGAAUACAACCAGACUACAGACUACAUCGUCUUCCACACGGAUGGACACACACACACACAUACAUUUCUCCCUCCAAUAUGUAUGAGUAUACUACACACACACACACAUCUCUCUCUACCCUUUUAAAUUUUGAAUCCAUGAUGCAAGUGAUGAUAUCUCUCCUCCCUCUUCUUUCUGUGGGUCCUCGAGUCCAUAUCCACAACCCUUUCAUGCAGCAGUAAAUGGGGUGGAUGGGGUGUUGAGAUGCUGAGGUCCAACCACCAUGACAAGCCAUCUCAGGGUCUUGGCCAUCGGAUUCUAUUUAAGCUCAACUCUCCUGGAGUAGCUGACACUGAGUUUGAAUGAGGAAGGAAGAAGGGGUUUUGGUAUUUCUUGAAGCUUGUUUUACUUUGGAGGCUCUACAUUUGGAGGAACUCCAUUACUUCCACUUGAGCACAGCUGUCUUUGCUCCCUCUUUCAAACUCAUCUUAGCUAGGAAACAAGGGACAAGCUGUUGGCUUCCUUGUUGACCUUCCCCUCCUUGGAGAGUCCUAUUUUGUUGUCACUUCAUCUUCAUCAUCUGCACCAUGAUAACUUGGACUACAGAUUAAGCAGCAAAGAAGUUGCUGGUACUGUAUCAGGAAGUUAUUGUUCAGCAUUGUUUGCAUGGACUUCAACACCCAGAAGCUUUAUGAUUUCUGCCCCUACACAUACCCAUUAUACACGCUGCCAUCAAUGAUUGAGCAAUGAGUGAAGAAGAGAUUGUUAUAUAUAUCUGUGGUAUUGUUAUGUACAUGAGUUGCCAAUUUUGUGCUCAUAAUAAUAAUACAUGUCGAGCUGGGAUUCUGUGCAGAGGACUUGAAGGAAGCCAAUGAGGCUGUGUGGGUCACUGAUGGCAAGCAUGACUAUGGACUUGGCUUGGAGAGGUACUGAAGCCACUCUUCAGGCACCCCUUUCCUCAUCUUCAGCAUCUUGACAGCAGCUGAUGUCAAGGGAAUGGCAAGUAUGUCAUAGUCUUUAGGAACCUGCAAUGGGAAUUGAAGGACACAUUGGUGUGGAAAAUCCAUGAGAGUGGCUGAGAAAAUUGAUCAGAAAUAGUUGCCAGAAACCUUGGGAAUUUUAAUCAGUUUCAUGUUUGCUUCUUCUAAGGUCUUCUGUCCCUUCCUGGAGUUACAUCUUGCACAUGCGGUGACCUGCAAAUAGGAUAGGAAGCAUGAGAGGAGGAAAGGUUCAAUCAAUGCAUUAGAACUAUGCAACAUAACCUGUUAGUGCUCUGGUUCAAACUCAGAUUAACAGUUCUAUGAUGCGGAUUUAUGAAAUGAACCUCACAACGCGAACCAAAAUCAUUGCUAGCAUGGAAAAUAAGAUCGCGUGAUAGGCAUCUGAGGCCAUUUAUCAUAAUACCGUGCCGUGAUAAUUCAACUUUUAAAUCAGAAACUGUUCGCACUGCAGUUUCUGUUGCACCAUAAAUCAGUGUUUCCUGAGUGCCUUCAGCUAUUAGCUUCAGGUAAAUUUAAAAUCUUGUCGGUACUCGUUAUUAUAUGCUAGGAACACUGUGCCUUCAUUAUUAUCAGAUGGAAAAGGAUCAUGUGUGACUAUUGUUUGAGGUUUCAUAUUAUGAUGAAGUGAGUAUACGCUAUUUGGGAUAAAUUUGACGGUGAACUGAAUGAUUAAGAACUACAAAUACUAGAAACGAUUAGAUAAUUUCUUCUUAGUGGCUACACUGUUAAGACUACAUAAUUCACUUAAAAGAAAAUUUCACUUUUGCUUUCAUUUUAUCAAACAUUCAAAAUGUAUGACCAAACGGUUCAAAAUUACAAUCCUGUUAUACACCACUUCAUUUAAACAGCUAUGACAACAUCGUUCAAAAUUCAAGUACUUCAACAUGUACAUAAUGGUCCAGACAAAAACAAGACAUACAUUGGCUCGAAACGAAACAUGUUAUUCCCAGUAAACAAGAGAUAUAGCACUCAGAAUUGAGUUUUCAAGUAAGAUGAAAUUAAAAAAAUAUGAUAUGGUAUGCACUAUAAGUGUUACAUACCAGAUUUUCCCACAUCCAUUCACCACCUCGUGAAAUUGGUACCACAUGGUCAACCGUCAAGUCAUCUCGAGAAGAGCAAUAUCUGUAGAGAACAUAAUAUGCUUGUUGCAUCAGUGAUAAGCUGCAAGCCUUGACUGGAUUAUGCUAUAUGGCUAAAUUAAACAUAUAAUAAAUAGGAUUAAUUUUUUGGACUAAUGAACUUAACAAAGAUAACAGUAUGAAGUUUCCAAUUCCCAUCAAAUACUGUUUUAAAGGAACACUUACUGACAAGUAAAAGAAUCCCUAUAAAAUAUGUUUCUGCGACUAAGGUUUUGUUUGAUCCUUCUCCUCUUGACAACUUGCAGCAAAUGUGGAAUCUGAGGAGUGGAACAUUAUUGAACAUAACUUGUUAAGAAGUAAAAUAGGAUGUCGUUGUUGUCCAAAAGUUACAAGAGGUGUACAACAAACCUGCAAGACUGCUGGUAUGUAGAAGGAUCCUUGCGCCGAAGACACCGUCUGGUCAUAGUAUUCCAGAACAUCAGCCUGUCAGUCGAUAUCAAGAAUUGUUAUGCUUCGUUGCUCGUAGGCAGGCAUGCAGGCAUAUGGGUAAUAUAGUUCCACAUAACAUGGCAUAUAUGCUUGACAAAAUUGUAUGACAAUAUGUCUAAAGAAGAUCACCAAAUAUAUCCUUGAUAUAAAGAUCAAAGUUAAUCUCUAUUUUUUAUCCCAAGCAGCAAUAUGAUCAUAGACUGCACAAAGCAAUCUAACCUUCUCCAUAAAUUCCAGACAGAUGGCACGCUUCCAGCAGACAACAUUUACGGGCCUAGUGAGCAUGAUAAAAGUUAGAUCCACAUGCAAAAAUGCAGAAUUUUAAAGGCUCUGUACUAUUUCUUUUUUCAAGUUAUUCUGAUAAUAGAACUGUGCACUGUGAAAAGACAACAAGAACGAUGCAGAAGGCAUAUGCUCUGAUAUUCAGUAAAAUAAAUAAGAAGAAUUUUGAUAUCAAAUGAUGGUGUUAAGCAAACCAUACAACAGUUUGCUUAGCGUUUUUUUACUCAUCGAGACGCAACUUUAUUUGUGUGCUGCUAUGAAUCAAGAAAUCUGAAUAAAAAGUCUGAUAAUGCCAAUUCAUAACUCUGCCGUCCCUGGAUUCCUGUUCAUCAAGCCACUACGAGAUUCAUCAUGGUCUUGUAGAAGAUUUAACUGUCCUGAAGAACGAUGUCUAGGUAUGUUAUCUAGCCUCGUUAUUGCCAAAUACCCUGAAUUGGCACCAUCUUGGAUAAGUCGUAUAUUUGUUGUGUUGGUACUUGGAACAAUUUUCUUUCUAGGAUUCUUUUCAGUUCUUGCUUGAGUCUUUAAAUUAGAACCCCCUUAUUUUCUAUUUGCAUAAGUAUCUGCUUGAAGUCAGCCUUCAGCCUUUACUAAAAUUACUAGACAUCUUCAUAUUAUAUGAGCAGAAUCUAAUCUAAAAACUCCCAUGCCAUAGGAUAUGAAAAUUGUAUGGUACUAAUGGUAUGAUAAAAGAGGGGCCAAUUUUGCAAUAGAACAAUAUCGGUAAAAUUUUAUGAACUACAUGAUUUGGAUAAUCCUUGGAAAUGAAUUGAACAAACAACAGGAAAGCCUAAGUAUGGAUGUAAAAAUCAAUUGAUGAUCAUCUGCGUCACACAGCAGCGCAAACGAUCAUAUACUGCAAAGCUCAGGCUCAACUAUCAAAUGCUGUUGUUUUGAAGCAAUGUACGAGAAGUUGCUGUUGGCCAAGAAAGACCUUAAGAAACUAAUGCUACUGAAGAUUGUCUGAGAUGUGAUCCAAUCAAAACACAUGUCAAGAAGAAGAUCAUUUGAAAAUAAACUAAAGGCAAUAUUUUCUUCCUACAGCAGCAAUGUUCCAAAGGAAAUUUAGGUGCUUCAUUAAAUGGGGAACAUCAACAACACUGAGAAAGAUCCCUAACCAACAAUAAUAUUAAAGAAUUUAUAGCAGCUUCUUAGUUCCAAUUAUUGUUUACCCCAAGCAAUGAAAACCUUAAUAAGGAUCUCACUGGACUGAUAGAUAACACAAAAUGUAAAUGAAAUUGAUUACCUGUAGGAGACAUCCAACACCAAACCUCUGAAGCAUGACAACUCAUCCCUCUGCAACUCAUUCUCCUCUUCCUCUUCCUCAUACUCCACCUCUUUACCCUCCCCACUCUCAAACUCAUCAGGCUUAAAGCUUUUUGACUUCUUACCCACAGCCCAAACCCUACCAGCAUCAGGAGACGUGAAGCCGCUGCUACUCCUAUGGAUCCCAACUGGGCUAUCAAGUGGCCUCUUCCCACCACCAAUCCUGCAGCGAACCUGGUCUCGUGGUUCACACCAGAAGGAGGCUCUGUCUCCGCACAAGGUCAGCCUGAGACUCCCCUGGGCUGUGAGCUUGGCCAUGGGGGUAGCUCUGGCUUCCAGGGUCCCUGUCUGAGGGUGAAGUUGUCAGGUCUGAAGCCUGAUCCAAGUCUGCAGUAGCUGAAGCCUUGCAAAUGACCUGUGUAGUUGUCUCACCGAGCUCAACUCUUGGGUUCUGGGCGGCACAUGGGCCUUUGGGGAGCAGAGGCAGGGAAGGAUCCUGAGUGGGAAUGGCGAAGGGUGGGAGAGUAUUGGAUCUAAAGAUUUCUUUCGAGCAAAUUGGAUGCAAGACCUGACGAGAGAGUUGACAGAAGAAGGCCUUUGACGGAGUGUGGCAACUGUUGAGGCUUCACAGCCACAAGUUGUUUUUGGCACAAAGGAAUAUCUCUCUCUCCCUCACAGCCUGUGAUUCCCAACACCCCAUUUCUUAGAUUUUUGAGAUCUAACAUAGAUUGCUCAUCAGUCCCUAAAUUACAAUUGUUUUCAUAUAGAUCAACAUCCCAAGAUCCUUUGCAGGUGCAGUCAUUCCUCUGACAUUUACAUGAUUUGCAUAUGCAAAUAUGCCACAAAAAACAAUAGAAUUUAGAAGAACAAUACUAAACUACAACCACAGAAACCCAGACAUCAUUGAGCACAUUCAUGCAGCUCUGAGAUUCCCAAUUUGCCAGCUUCUGUGGAUUACUAACUAUGAACUACCAUGACUAUUUGAUCCAACAGCUACUAAGAACACUAAACAUCCAUGUUCUGAAAGAAAACCAAAAACCCCCACUCCAUUCUCAUUUCUUGUAUUCUCAUUUCAUGGUAGGUCCAAAUGGCUUGAUACCNNNNNNNNNNNNNNNNNNNNNNNNNNNNNNNNNNNNNNNNNNNNNNNNNNNNNNNNNNNNNNNNNNNNNNNNNNNNNNNNNNNNNNNNNNNNNNNNNNNNNNNNNNNNNNNNNNNNNNNNNNNNNNNNNNNNNNNNNNNNNNNNNNNNNNNNNNNNNNNNNNNNNNNNNNNNNNNNNNNNNNNNNNNNNNNNNNNNNNNNNNNNNNNNNNNNNNNNNNNNNNNNNNNNNNNNNNNNNNNNNNNNNNNNNNNNNNNNNNNNNNNNNNNNNNNNNNNNNNNNNNNNNNNNNNNNNNNNNNNNNNNNNNNNNNNNNNNNNNNNNNNNNNNNNNNNNNNNNNNNNNNNNNNNNNNNNNNNNNNNNNNNNNNNNNNNNNNNNNNNNNNNNNNNNNNNNNNNNNNNNNNNNNNNNNNNNNNNNNNNNNNNNNNNNNNNNNNNNNNNNNNNNNNNNNNNNNNNNNNNNNNNNNNNNNNNNNNNNNNNNNNNNNNNNNNNNNNNNNNNNNNNNNNNNNNNNNNNNAUAUAUAUAUAUAUAUAUAUAUAUAUAUAUAUAUAUAUAUAUAUAUAUAUAUAUAUAUAUAUAUAUAUAUAUAUAUAGCUUCAGUCAUCAUUAGCAGUAAAUUCUCAUACAUUCAUGAAAGUUUCAGCAUGAAAGACCAGUAUCCAAAAUAGAUUCUUGGUUGUGACAUUUGCCUAUGAUAGAUUGGUGGGCUAAAUAUGAGAACGCAAAUGAGCCACAUCAAAGAUGAGACUCCACCAAACUCUUCUUUAUUUAGUACAACCUCAUCUCUCCAUUAAUGAAAUCACAUACUGUGACACAUGAUUGGAUGGGCUACUAUUAUCAUCUCAAUUAUCCCACCAAACAUCAUGCGAUGGUAAUCUUAAAGUUCCAAUUGUGGAACUCUUCUCCUCCACGAGGCUUACCUUUUGAGUUGGGGCCCGAUUAAAACCUACUAACACUAAUACUAAUCAUUUGUCCCAAAGAUUUGCUGCGCUACACUUCUCCACGCGUUAAUUUAUUACCCUCUUUCUUACCUUCUUGUAGUACGAUGUGUCUGUGUGGUGUCAGCUUGCGGGCCCGGUUGAUUCUUCGAAUUGCCAGCCAAGUAAGAUGGCGAGUAACGGCAGAGGGUAGGGCAAGUGUCUUGUAGCUUUUAGUCCUAUUAAGGAUCUUCCUAAGACAUCGAGAAAUAAAUGAAACCCUAACCCUGCAAUAAAAAUCCUGUCGCCCUCUCGGCCCCCUCGAAGCAGAUCGGUCGAAGGUUUCCGAGGUGUGUGGCCUCUGCUUGGCCAAUCUUCUGCUUCCAGUUUCUCUUGUUCGAAUUUGCGGUAAUCCGAUCCCUGCCUCGCUUGUCAAUUGCGAGGACUUGAUCUUUUUUGCGUCGUUGCAAGAAUUGCUUUGGGGUUUCCUUGUUUUCAUCAUAAUUCGGAUGUGGAUCGGCCUUUUCUAUGGAUUAUUUACCCUGCGAAUUCGAAGUAGAUGAAUUUCUUGGCUUCGAUUCGACCAAUUUUAUUGCGAUUCGUGGGGGAUGGGACGCAUUUACCCCUGCCUUUUUCGAUUUGGAAUUUUUCUCGUUGAAAUUUCAGAUGUAUUGUGUUCUUCGGUGAUCUUCUGUGUCAUCAGCGUGUAAGAAAGAAGUAUCUUUUCCUCGUCACAGAUUUUUUUUCUCUCUUCUUCUUGCAGUUAUCAUUCACUGAUAGGCUUUCAGAUUUAUUUUCUAGUAAUUUGUUGGUGUUCAUGCGAUUGAUGUCUGUGAAUGAUAAUAUCCCUACGAAUUUUAUGCUCUUGAACAUCAGUUCAUGAUAUGGAACAUAUGCCUUCGAUCAAUGUUUUCCUGAUUUCUACUACCGACAAAACAUUAUUGGAGUAAGAAUUGUGCUUCAAGGAAUAUGAUGCUGUCUCUCAAUUGUUACAUUUGCAUUAUAUAUUAUCAACUCGUUCUAUCUAUUGUUGCCUUUCUUAUGAACUAUAAAUUCUCAACUGAUGUUGUAGGUCCUGUACGAUGUACUGAUACGCACCUCUGCCUGAGCUAUUUGACUUGGAACUAUAUGAGAUCUUCAAUUGUUAGUGCUUUACGCGUUUAUUUCGAGUUGGACAAUAGCAAAUAAGGUUUCUUGAGGUCUGUUGAGAUACUGCAACAGAGUAUCUUGUGAAUAAUGGCUCAGGAGAGUUGGAAGAAGGAGACUGAGCAGACCGAGUGUGAGACACCUGAAAGCCCAAUUUUAUGCGCUAAUAACUGUGGCUUUUUCGGGAGUGCCAUGACCAAUAACCUGUGCUCGAAAUGCUAUAAAGACCUUGUCAUGAAACAGAAAUCCAUCCUGACGACUCCUCCUGCUGAGGCGGAGAAGACAACUAGUAUUCCAUCUUCUUCGGUGAAAAUUGAACCUACUGUUAUCAGCUCGGAUGAAGUUGAUGGACCAUGCGACAUGAAUGUUGUUAAGGAUCAAGUGGAGGACUUAUGCAACAAGCGGCCUGCUAACCGCUGUUUCCGAUGCGGGAAAAAAGUAGGAUUAACAGGGUUUAAAUGCCGAUGCGAGAACACCUUGUGUUCGGCUCACCGACACCCCGAGGCUCAUGAAUGCUCAUUUGACUACAAGACUGCUGGUCGGAAGGCAAUAGCCAAAGAGAACCCUGUUGUGAAGGCAGAAAAGAUCAACAAGAUCUAAGAUUGUUCUGAUGAAGGUAUAAAACAUCAUUCGCUGUUUAUCUUAAAUGGUACCUUCCCAUAGAUUUCAACAGUUUUAACUUUUAUGAAUGGGGAUUUCACAAUAUGGUCUACUAUCAGAUUGUGGAUGUUGAUGUGAUUUCCAGUGGUAAAUAAUGUAAAAAAGCAUUGAGUGUCUUUCUCAUUGUCCAUGUUUCUUGUAAUGUGCUAAGUAUCUUUCCACUCUUUGGUGAACUUUCAGGAAUCUCUGUUCUGAAUUGUGGGUUUGUCCAUGUUUUUCUGGUGGCAUAUAGAACAAAGUUGUGUGGUUGCCAUGUCAAAACUUUAGGGUAGUCAAAUACUGCAACUGUGGACAGGCAAAACAAGAUUGGUGAUCACUAAACUGAAACUACUGCAAUUUUUCCAAAAUGUUUGUGACAAUUUGGCAGCCAUUUUGGCAUUUUUGCAGUAAUAUUCACCAUUUACAUUUUGAUGAGCUUUGAUGGCUCAUCAACUCUACAAGGUAAUUUGACUAUUUAUAGAUGAUAUUUGAUAUUUUCUAAUCAAUUGAUGACAACUUUAUUAACUAUUUAAUAUUCAUUAAAUGAAUAAGAUUAUGAGAAAUACCCUGACACAGGUUUCUAUCACUCUUGGUGUUAAUCAAGAUUCAAGAAUUCUGGGGGCCAAUCAAAUGGCAUGGUUGGUUAGUCUGUGAUUGCAACACAUAAAAUUGCAUUUGAUCACAGAAAAGGCAUGGUAGACAACCUAAUGCUAGCCAUCUUAUACCUAACAUUCUGGUGAUACAACUUAAUAUUCAAAAAGGUAGUUCUUGACCAUGAUUACCAGUACAAGUGCUGCUUUUUCAUUUGAGGUAUGACAAUUUCUUCAAGGACAGGAUGUUCAAGUGCUAUGCAAAGAUAAAAGAGAAAAUUAGUUUAUUGCAUUAGGUCCUUCAAGAUCUGUCAGUGUCACCUAAGAGAGGGGUCAUUUGCAACAACAGGACUAGCAUUGACAAGUUCCUAUAAUAACAUAUUUGCUCAAAGCUCUUCUAAACCUGAGUUAGUUAAGAAUGAUUUAGGUAAUGAGGGUAGGCAGAGAGGUUUUGCUUAACAAAAUUGCUUAAGAACUGUAAUUCCAGCUCCAGAGAACCAGAUCUGUCAGUAAUAUUUCUUUUAGGGCCUACUCCACAUUAUCAUUGCUCCAAGGUGAAAGAGUUGGCUGGAUGUAGCAUGCUUUUUGUGGCAUUGAUAAUUGAAAUUAAAAGGUAGAAGUUAGAUUUGUGAAACCACAGAUGCUUUUGACAAUUAUAUACUGAACUUUGGGACUCUUAACCUGCUCCUUGUACUGAUGCUAUAUACAUCUACUAGUCAUUUUUUUGCAUCAGAAGUCAAAUUCUGGUGAUCUUUUCAUGAAAAUAAUGUUAGUGCCAGAAAGUUCCUAUCCUGCAAAUUUCUUGCACAUAUUGACCUGCAAUGAUGACACAUGCAAGUGCCCCAUAAACUGCUACUAUGUGUUAGCAUAGCAGGAUCAUUUUCUACCAUAAGAAGUUGGUUUGUUCAGUCCCAGAUUAACUCAUGUUCUGAUUGUGAAAUAUGUUGUUUUGCAUCAGAAAUUACAACACUGAUGCCAACUACAUGACAAUUAUGUUAGGGACUAUAGAAUUUUUAUUCUGGAAAUGUUCCUGCACAUUUUGCUGCAAGAAGAAGGAUGGAUAUGAUUUUGAAUAAUUUGAUCCAAUAAAAAUGGGUAGAUAAAAGAAGAAAACCAGAAAACUUGAGUCACAAUCCAGAUAAAAUAAAAAAUUACUUAUUUUUCAUAAAAACAAAAUAGCAACAAUCAUGGUAAUAUAAUAGACUACAAUAAUUUAUAAAUACAGUUGACAACAAUAAAUAAUAAUAAUUUUUGUGUGAUUUGUCUAUUAUAAUCAUUUCAUAUAACUCAUGGUGAAUCAUGAGAUGGGCCUCAGAGAUCUUGGUGGAUAAGGAUCAUCAAAUGGGUGACCCCAUCAAGAGUAGCAAAUAUUAUUCUCACAUCUUAGGCCCACAAGAAACCAAACCUAAUCAUACAUAUGAAUUGGAACACUUUUCCAAGUCCAAGAAAAGAAAAUAGAUAGAAUUCAUCAUGCAGAACAUAUCAAAAACUCUAGUUACUGCUAUUUGUUCCAGUGAUGUGUCAGAAGUAGCUGGUUUCUGAUAUCAUCUUUUGGACAUCAUUGGGAAUCCGUCUGAUUUUUUUCAUCAUCCAACAUCACGGGUAGAACAAAUCAAAAUCAGAUUUUGAACUCAAAUGACGCAUCUAAGGGCAAAAAAACGACUGUACCACCAAAAAUCCCAGUUUGGACAGAUCAAAAUCGGAUGUUGAACGAACAUUAAACAGCAUCGAAAGACCAUGCGCAGCAAAUAAUCGAUUGAGAAAAGAAAAGAGAUAUGUAUCAGCCUUGUCACCGAAAAAUCCUACAGAGAGAACAAAGUCGAGGAAAGGAUCAUCGGAGCUAAAGGAAGAAAUGUAUCUGGCCCAACGAUAGAUUCCUUGCUGCACCGCAAAAUCCAGCAGCAAAAAAUUGCAAUAUUAGGCCUUCAAACCGAGAUAAGAAACCCUAAAAUCGGCGAGAACGUACCGAAUAAUCAGAGAUGAUCAACAGCCUAUUCAGAAAAUCCAAACGACUAACAGUUACAUAUAAAAAGGUAUCACACAAGGGUGGCAGACGACGGCGACACACGAUCGAACCCUAAACCCUAAUUCGCCUGCUCGAAACCCCUUAUUUAUAGAAGCGGUUGGUGUUUCUGCUGUCCCGCGGUGCAGUACCCGUAUAUUGAACCGUUUUGCCAGGGGUGUUUUUAUGACCAAGCUGACCGAACGGUUCAAUAUAUGAGAAAUGCACCGCGGGACAGCAGAAACACCGGCCGUGUCUAUAAAUCAGGGGUUUCGGGCGCCCAAAUUAGGGUUUAUGCUUAUAAUUUUGGGUGCAGCUUUUCCUAUACAAAAUCAAUUAUCGAAAUACGAUUUAAGUGGCUCCGAACAAUAAAAUAAUAUAUAAUAACAAUAAUAACAUUCUUGAAUUGAUUCGAUCAUUAACAUAGAUAUGCUAAUAGAUGAAUGCAUAUUUCUUUCCUAAUCCAACUAAAUCCGAAUUUAAAUUUACAUUAAAAAAAACACUAGAUUCCUAAUAGAUAUGCUAAAAAAUUGCGACAGGCCAACCUUGAAAAAUAUAAAANNNNNNNNNNNNNNNNNNNNNNNNNNNNNNNNNNNNNNNNNNNNNNNNNNNNNNNNNNNNNNNNNNNNNNNNNNNNNNNNNNNNNNNNNNNNNNNNNNNNNNNNNNNNNNNNNNNNNNNNNNNNNNNNNNNNNNNNNNNNNNNNNNNNNNNNNNNNNNNNNNNNNNNNNNNNNNNNNNNNNNNNNNNNNNNNNNNNNNNNNNNNNACAUAUACAUAUAUAUAUAUAUAUAUAUAUAUAUAUAUAUAUAUAUAUAUAUAGAUUGGUGACUCAAGAUAUUGAUGUGGCAUCCACAUGGCAAGUGAGACUAUAUAUUUGGAGCAUGCAUGGAUCCACUUCAUCACAUACACCACAUGCAUGCUAAUGGAUCAGUAAGUUCAACAAAAACCCUAAAUCUGUGUAUCAUAUCUAGUAGUACAGCAAAACCAUUGGAUUAAUAAAGAUCAUCUAGCAUCAUCUCCAAGGCACCAAUUUUGGAUCAUCUCCACUGAAAGGAAAAUUCACAAGAAGCUGUUGAAAUUUUACAGUGUCCAUUAUUGCUUUGUCUUUAAAAGCAUCACAUGAUCCAAAUACUAGUAGUGUGUCUUGUGAUAUCCAUCUCCAAUCUCUAUCCUUCUUCCUGCAGCCACUUGGAACUUGCAAACACUUCCAGCUGUGGCCACAGAUUAAGUCAUCAUCUGAGGUUGAUCACCCCACUUUGUAAUGAGAAUGAUAACUGAGAACCUAUGCAUGCUUUUCAGGCUGUUGGUGCUUCUGAGGGCCGAACAGUAUCAACUGUGUUAUACUCUUUCACAAAAGUUCGAAGGCAUCCAUUGAUUACCCGAGGGGCGCAACCAUCACAGAACCGCUUGGCGAGAUCAACAGCCUUCACGACAAGAGAUCAGAAUCGAUUAUGAAGAUGAUGAAGGCUAUAUAGGCAAAGAUAAAGGUUCUGUGGGAUGGGGAAACUUGCCUCAUUGAUGACGAUCUGGUGUCUUGUUCCUAUUGAUGUUAUCUCUGCCAUGGCAAGGUGAAGAAUGCAGAGUUCCAAGAUUCUUGCUGCAGGCUCAUCCUGCGAUUUUAGAUUGUGUAUUGAGGAGGGUGUCUUGGGUUCAAUUCCAGAAAACUAAAUGAAAUCGGUCUCAACAAGGUAUUCACAAACUACGAUAAGACAUAUUGCAAAAGCUUUUUGAACUGGAAGUAGUAUCCAAGAACGGCACACAAAUACUAAACAAAAGAGUCAAGAACUUGUCUGUUCACCGACAAAUGAUCGUAAUGAUAUUGAAAUGCCUAUAUUUCAAAUAAAUCAUAUUUCUCCAGUUAAAUUAGAUAUAUGUGGCUUGAUUCUGCAAAUCUACAACUCAGCCCAAAAUAUACCUAAAUUAAUUAUUUUAUCAAACAAUUAAUGUGUUCUAUGGAACAAAAGGUAGAACAUUUUGUUUGAAAGCACUCAUCUACUGUAUCUAAAAUGCCUUACUCGUUGUACAUACAAACUCAAUUUCAUGUAGGUAACAAGAACAACAAACCAUAGAUUCGAACAGUUACUACAGGGACAUUUAUCAAAGACAAACAACAGACACCUCAAGACAUACAAUUUUCUGAGUUAGAAAUUUCUCCACAAGUUUAUCUACGUAAGAGCAUAUGCCGUAGAAUAAGAACUUUUGGGAUUUCAGAUUGCAAUAUUUUGUGUGAUUGAACAAAUGAAGAUGCCCAUCAAAGAAUGUAAAGAAACCUGCAAUUGUCAGAAAUGAUAAUGCAUAAAGAUCUUUUGAGCCAACCAAAGCCUGAAAGUAUCAAAGAUGUCUCACGCAUGCAAAAUUUGUGUUAGCCUAAAAAAAUAUAUCAUUAAGUUUCUUUACUUGAGUAGGAUUAUUACAUGAAGCCAGUUAAUUGUAAACUCCAAAGUUUGAUGUUCCCAGUGUCAUUAUGGAAAAGGAGAAGAGCUCACUUAAGCCUUGAGACAUGCACACCGUACCUUCCAAUUUUGGGGAAUUACUUUGGCGAUUAAACGAACAUGAUCAUUCCACCGAUCAACCACAGCUACCAGUAUAUUCCUCGUCAGGCUGGAAAAUGCAUUAAUCAACUUUAUAAACAAUAAUUCUUGAUUUGAGGAUAAUGUGAACCAAAAGAAUAAAAAGAGCAAUUAGUGAUCAACAUGAUUAGCUGUAUCCAUAAAAUUUAUCAGUAAGAUGUUAGAUUUAUGCAGCUUGCAUGAGAUUUUUAGCUAGAUGGAAAUGGGAGAAAUGUCAGGCUGAAGGAAGAGGGAAGCACCGCAAAACAAAUUUGUUGUAGACCAGCUUUGGAGGAGCUGAUAGAACCUCUGCUUCUGAAAAUUACAAAAAAUCAUGAGGGAAUUAUGGUUGAAAACUAUGUAAAAGGAACCAACAGAACAUGUCAUAUGAAUAACUUGACUAAUGUUUCAAGUUUCAACAAAUAUGAAAUAAAUUACUAAAAGAAAGCUGAUGCCACAAAAGUUUGUAUCAUGCGAUAAGACAACUAACAAGCAUCAGAUCCUACAAGUAUUUAUUACUAAAUGACAACUCCAAUUACUAUGAAAUUUUGAUAACUGAAACAAAGAGAACAUUUUCCCCUCCAUGGAAGCUUGAUAUUGUGUAUGGGGAUUGAGGUGUCUUUCUUUCUUGGUUAUUAUGUGAUAGGAUGUAGACCAAUUGAAACUAAGCUACUUUUGGCAGUGAUGCAGAAAACACUCCAGUGUGGUAUUAUCUCAUCACUUGCAUCUGGUUGAUACUUGGUGAAGUAGAUUAUUUAGAAUCAAUUUCUAACAUCUGCUGAUAAUUACAAACAUGUUUAUUUUGUAUAAUGAAGUUAUUUGGAGGCAUAUACUACAACCAUAAACUGUAUUUGGAGUAGUAAUAUAAGCCAUUUGACCUUAAUUUCCACACAAAAUUAGCAUGCAUGUAUAUGAUCACAAAUGUCGACUACUUGCAAUUUAACAGGCACCACUUCCACUGCCAAAUUUGACCAUCAUGAGCCAUGUAUGCCAUCCUUUCCUACCAUUAUUGUACCUCCACAACCUAUCUUGAUCAUAUUGAUUAUCAUGAUGCUGUCCCACUUAUCUUGUCAAAUAGAUGCCCUUCCAACAAAGUACAACCUACUGAUAUCAUUAGGAAAUUCAUGCACAAAUAAUCAUAAUAGAAGCAUUUGGUUUCACUAGCUUCAACAAUUGAAACCCAAAAGAAACUGUAAGACGAUUCAGGAACCUAAUUACCAUUAGCUGAAUCCUUAUCAUUUUGUAGCAUCAGCCCCUCAGCCUCUUCUUCUGUUCCUACCUCAACAGGAGCCCCACCAAAGCUCAUGUGAUCAUACUGUAACAGGAUGGCCUUGUCGAAAACAUAUCCAGGCUCUGGGAGCAGAAAACCAAGGAAACCAUGUAUAAUAGAUCAACAAAACCAAUAAUAACCAGCCACCAUUCAACCCAAGAAGAAAAAGAUUCAAUCAUAGAACAAAUUUCUCGAUUAACCAUACUUCCAUGAUUAAACCAUCCAAAAACAACGGCACCUGCAUGGAUUAUAAGAAAGCUUGCCUCUUUUUGCAUUGACUCUCUUGUCGAAGAGCCGAACCGGAUCAGACCCUUCUAAACAAGCAGCAUAAGCGAUCAUCCUAAACAUCGCCAUUCUUCCCUAAGUUAAAUUCUUCACCAAUUGCCUCAAAGAAACAAAAAAGGAGAAAAUUUUAAGACCCAAACGAGGUUCCAACUCACAGAGCGAGCUCGCGAGCGGCUCUAGGGCUACAGAACCUCCCGCUUUUAUCGACCUUAGACGAGGACGCGCCUCUGGGGGACGCCGACGUCUCCGCCGCUUGUUCCAAGGCUUCGGCAACCGCAAAGGGUGGCGAAAUUUGCAGGGAACUCCGAGAGGACGGCGACAAGAUGAGGCCUUUUAGGGGUAUCGGAUGGAAGCUUACGAGCAGAGGAUGCCUACGAGCACAAAAAGGAGAAGAAUUGGGGAAGAUAUUGAAAGAAAGAUGGGGCUUUGGAGAAGAGGAGGAGGAGCAGAGACAGCAUGCCUCCAUUCUUCGCCCCCGACCCCCAAGAGUAACUAUAGAUAAGGUUUUGCAUUCAGGUAGCCAAAUAUAUAGAAGAGGGGUUUUAGGAAAUAGAAAUAUCUACGCAAACAUAACAUAGGGUUAAAACCUAAUUACUUUGACUAUUAAGGAAAAAAAAUCCCCUAAAUGCUUUGGAAAGAAGAAUAUGGAGAAAAUUAAAAUAUCCUAUAAAUUUUAUUUUGCAAAACAAGCUCUAGCAAUUAAAAAAAAAACAAAAUUAUGAAUUAGAGCCUCCACUUUUUUUAAUAAAUUAUUAUUUUUAAAAUAAUAAAGGUGUAAAACCAAUAUAAUUUAAUAACUUCUAAUCUCGUUUAAAUACAUAAGAGAUUGAUAUACUCGAUCAAUAUAAUCUUGGAUUAAAAUCUAAUAUAAGUGUUUCUGAAGUUUAGCUAUGUAUCAAUAUGUCUUAGGUGAUGGAUAUAUAUUUACUUAAAAUUUUAAUAUUAAAAUUAGUUUUGAUAUCAUUUAGUAUGAUAUGACCUAAUAAUAUAACUGAUAAAUUAAUUUUUAAAAAUAUAAUUAACUGAUCUAGAACAUUUAAACUCAAUUUAACUAUGUUCUGCGAAUCUCGAGCUGUGUGGCCGGCACGGCUUGGUCCAACGGGUGACGUCCAGAAUCGUCCUGAGGGCAAGGAUCUCAAUCGGGUGGGUCGAGAUUGGACUUGGUGGUGACACGCUUCUCCCCCGAACUCGUUCGUCGUUUUUACACCUGGAUUCCUACGCACUAGCCUAAGUCGGGAUGGGAAUGAUUCCGACUUGAGCCCCUCUGAAGCUUGAGUAAGUAGCUUGCUAAUGUUCUCAUGCUUCUCGUUAGAUGCUGGUGAGAGAUUUUUAUUAUGACUCCCGGGGGUCGAUCGUAUGACUGACCCUUGUGAGCGACGAAUGUACCUUCGGGUGUUCGUUGUCCGGGAUACGCAUGGCGUCGUCCCGGGUUUCGCAGGACGAUCCUUGUUUCGACGAGACUAGUUGGCGCGGUGCCAAACGACAUAGGGAGAUGACCAUUGCAUCCUGGAUUAUCAAUGGCACAUCUGUCAUGACUUUAUCUCCCUCUCGAGGUUUUGUGCUCGGGCUAAUGUGGCAAAGGUCAGGUCCCGUAGGAUGAUCCAAAAUGUGCCCUAUCAAUACACACGUUAAACUAUUACAUAUUCAUCAAUUCAAAAUUUUACUCUGUUGAGACUAAAUCAAAAAUAUUACAUAUUCAUAA
rnacentral:lncRNA from 1 species